GAAGGUGUGGCUCCUGAUAGAGCACUUGCCUGGCAUGCAUGAGGCCCUGGGUUCCAUCCCCAGCACCACCG
rnacentral:tRNA from 1 species